rnacentral:rRNA from 1 species
AUUGAACGCUGGCGGCAGGCCUAACACAUGCAAGUCGAGCGAGCGGCGGACGGGUGAGUAAUGUAUGGGUACUGCUCGAUAGAGGGGGAUAACUCCUGGAAACGGUGGCUAAUACCGCAUACUAUCGGAUAACCCAUAUUGGAUUAGCUAGGAGGUGGGGUAAAGGCUAACAUAGGCGACGAUCACUAGCUUGGCUGAGAGGAUAAUCAGCCAAACUGGGACUGAGACACGGCCAAGACUCCUACGGAGGCAGCAGUGGGGAAUAUUGCACAAUGGGGGCAAGCCUGAUGCAGCCAUGCCGCGUGUAUGAAGAAGGCCUUAGGGUUGUAAAGUACUUUCAGCGGGGAGGCGUGAACCGAAGAAGAAGCACCGGAUAACACCGUGCCAGCAGCCGCGGUAAUAC